rnacentral:rRNA from 1 species
UACGUAGGGUGCGCGCGUUAAUCGGAAUUACUGGGCGUAAAGCGUGCGCAGGCGGUUAUGUAAGACAGGUGUGAAAUCCCCGGGCUUAACCUGGGAACUGCAUUUGUGACUGCAUAGCUAGAGUACGGUAGAGGGGGAUGGAAUUCCGCGUGUAGCAGUGAAAUGCGUAGAUAUGCGGAGGAACACCGAUGGCGAAGGCAAUCCCCUGGACCUGUACUGACGCUCAUGCACGAAAGCGUGGGGAGCAAACAGG